AUUGAACGCUGGCGGCAUGCCUUACACAUGCAAGUCGAACGGCAGCACGGGAGCAAUCCUGGUGGCGAGUGGCGAACGGGUGAGUAAUAUAUCGGAACGUGCCCGGUCGUGGGGAUAACGUAGCGAAAGCUACGCUAAUACCGCAUACGAUCUACGGAUGAAAGCGGGGGAUCGCAAGACCUCGCGCGAUUGGAGCGGCCGAUAUCAGAUUAGGUAGUUGGUGAGGUAAAGGCUCACCAAGCCGACGAUCUGUAGCUGGUCUGAGAGGACGACCAGCCACACUGGGACUGAGACACGGCCCAGACUCCUACGGGAGGCAGCAGUGGGGAAUUUUGGACAAUGGGCGCAAGCCUGAUCCAGCAAUGCCGCGUGCAGGAUGAAGGCCUUCGGGUUGGUAAAC
rnacentral:rRNA from 1 species